rnacentral:misc_RNA from 1 species
UUAGAUCAUUCAGUCUUUGCCAAUAUGAAAAUAUUCCAAUCUGAAAACCCUAGCUCUUCUAAAAACCUUUCUUUUGUGAAUCUCCAAUGAAAUCAAACCCGAUUGAAAAACAGGAACACAGAGCGAUGAAGAUAACGAUAUUCUAACAGCUAGAGGCAAAAUCAAUCCCUAUAAACUCGAGGAAUAGAAGAGAGAAUCGUAUAAGAUAUCAGCUGGCUUUUGUGAUUAUCGAAGGGUCUCCUUUCUGGUGACUUG